rnacentral:misc_RNA from 1 species
GCAGUUUGUCUUUUGAUUGUUGACUUGAUAUGAAUCUGAAGUCAAGGGCCUGCUUCUGGUGCAAGGAGUUAGAUAUCAUGUAGGUUGUUGCAAAUUUACCGUUAAAUAUGCCUGCGCACACUUGAGAACGUGGAACUUGUUUCUGCAUCUUGAAUUAGUGAUUUGAUGCUAAAUGUGAUGCUUUACUCCUAAAAUUGCAUAUAUGAAAUAUGAGGCCAUCUUAGCUUUGGACUCUAGUGCCUAGAUUGCUUGUAUUGAACUUCCUUAAACUGUAGAGGAUAGAGAUAUAACUUUUUUCCAAUUAUGUGAUGGUAGUUUUAGAAGUUAGAAUCUAUUAGGAUUGCAUCUCUCUUGAUUCUUGCCGUUUGAAUUCAAUCUUUUUGUAUUAGCACCUUAUUUGGAACCUACCAUGUUUGAGUAUAUUCAAAAUGGGGAUGCAUAGUUCAGGCUUAUGUCAACCUGAGGCUGAGGGAUGGAUUUUAAAUUUUUAACAACUGUGAGAAUUAAUCUUAUUGUUUUAGUCUCUCCUCUUGAUUACAAGUUAAAUGCUGGGUUCUUUAAGUUUUUUUACCCCCUUUGCUUUUUUACUGACAUGAAGUUAAAACUUUCACUUUCCCCUUUGCUUUUUUAGGACUCAUGAAGUUAAAACUUCCAAGUCCACCUUUUUUAUUUGUAAAAAGUGGGUCAUUCAAAGCUUUAAUUAGAUGAUUCACAAGGAAACAAAGGAUUAUAGGAUUGGUGGGUAAAGAAAAUUCCUUACUUGCACUUACAUUUUUCUUUCCUCAUUGUUAAAAUGUAAUGUAGAGUACAAUAAUGAGAAUUAAUUCAGUGCAACUGUUGUAUACAUUUUGAUCAUUGAUUAUGAUGGG